CUCUAUGGUAAGUCACUCCGGGGGGCCUUGCUAAAUUAGGUGUCAGAAGCUUAGUCAUUGUAACCAGGGCCCUUCCAGGCACGAUCUGUGUGGCUGCAAAGUCAUCCUCCCUGCCACUUUCUUAUUCGAUAAAGGCCAGUAAAAUGUAGUAAGGAAUGGAAUGGAAAGACAAUUGUCUUUGGAGGCAUUACCCGACUGGCAUUGACUGAGAACAUAGAGUUAAUGCUUAGACCGUCAGUUCAGACCCUUCUGACAUGCAGGAAGUACAUCUAGAUACUUCAAGGGUAGGACGAUUCCUGAGAGCUGACGUCUUUCUGCCUUGGAAGAUGCCAGCCUUGUUUCAGCUUGCUAUAACCUCCCACUGGAAAAAGUCAGGCCUUUCCUGGACAGCCAGAGGCCUAGAACUUCACUCGCAGGCUUUGAUAUGAACCACGUUCUGAUGGGGCCUGGGUCUCCCUUGCCUUAGGUUUCCUCAACUGCAGAUCAGGAAGAUUCUACCAAUGAUAUUUUUACCUCAAAGUGAUGUCGUAAUGAAGAUGGCAGAAAAAGCAUUUUGCAAGAUCAAAAAAAAAAAAAAAAAAGCCUUCUUAGCAAGCACGUAGCGAGCUAUCUCUGUGUCUGCUAGAAUCUCAGAGGAAACUCUCUGAUCUAAGACUCUAAAGAGGCACAGGCACAGGACUGACGUUGGCUUUUUCUUUCUGGAAUUUCUGUGCCCUUUACCUCGGUAUUACUUUAAAUGACAUUGGCAGAAAGACUUGGCAAUGCUGCUGGUGAUGGCGCUGAUGUUGGUAUGGUGCUGAUGUUGUGUGGAUGGUGCUGAUGUUGGUAUGGUGCUGAUGUUGUGUGGAUGGUGCUGAUGUUGGUAUGGUGCUGAUGUUGGUAUGGUGCUGAUGUUGGUAUGGUGCUGAUGUUGGUAUGGUGCUGAUGUUGGUAUGGUGCUGAUGUUGGUAUGGUGCUGAUGUUGGUAUGGUGCUGAUGUUGGUGGAUGGUGCUGAUGUUGUUUUGGGUGGUGCUGAUGUUGGUAUGGUGCUGAUCACACAGGAGCCUUAUAGCACUGUCUUCUCAUCUGCCUAGAUUCCUUUAUGAUGCCCACUUUCCCAGUGAGAGGAGCUGAGGUUUAAAAA